rnacentral:rRNA from 1 species
AUUGAACGCUGGCGGCAGGCCUAACACAUGCAAGUCGAGCGAGCGGCGGACGGGUGAGUAAUGUAUGGGGACUGCCCGAUAGAGGGGGAUAACUACUGGAAACGGUGGCUAAUACGGCAUACUUACGGAGAACCCAUAUGGGAUUGGCUAUUAGGUAAGGUAAUGGCUUACCUGGGCGACGAUCCCUAGCUGGUCUGAGAGGGGGAUCAGCCAAACUGGGACUGAGACACGGCCCAGACUCCUACGGAGGCAGCAGUGGGGAAUAUUGCACAAUGGGCGCAAGCCUGAUGCAGCCAUGCCGCGUGUAUGAAGAAGGCCCUAGGGUUGUAAAGUACUUUCAGUCGGGAGGCGUUACCGACAGAAGAAGCACCGGCUAACUCCGUGCCAGCAGCCGCGGUAAUAC